rnacentral:rRNA from 1 species
UACAGGGGGAUAACAGUCAGAAAUGACUGCUAAUACCGCAUAAGACCACAGCACCGCAUGGUGCAGGGGUAAAAACUCCGGUGGUACAGGAUGGACCCGCGUCUGAUUAGCUGGUUGGUGAGGUAACGGCUCACCAAGGCGACGAUCAGUAGCCGGCUUGAGAGAGUGAACGGCCACAUUGGGACUGAGACACGGCCCAAACUCCUACGGGAGGCAGCAGUGGGGAAUAUUGCACAAUGGGGGGAACCCUGAUGCAGCGACGCCGCGUGAGUGAAGAAGUAUCUCGGUAUGUAAAGCUCUAUCUUCAGGGAAGAAAAUGACGGUACCUGACUAAGAAGCCCCGGCUAACUACGUGCCAGCAGCCGCGGUAAUACGUAGGGGGCAAGCGUUAUCCGGAAUUACUGGGUGUAAGGGGUGCGUAGGUGGUAUGGCAAGUCAGAAGUGAAAACCCAGGGCUUAACUCUGGGACUGCUUUUGAAACUGUCAGACUGGAGUGCAGGAUAGGUAAGCGGAAUUCCUAGUGUAGCGGUGAAAUGCGUAGAUAUUA